UAUUGGGCAAUGCCCGCAAGGGUGACCCAGCAACGCCGCGUGGAGGAUGAAUGUCGUAAGAUUGUAAACUCCUGUUAGAGGGGAAGAAUAGUACCGGUUGGACCGGUAUAUGACUGUACCCUCAGAGAAAGCCCCGGCUAACUACGUGCCAGCAGCCGCGGUAAUACGUAGGGGGCAAGCGUUGUCCGGAUUUACUGGGUGUAAAGGGCGCGCAGGCGGGAUAAAAAGUCAGUGGUGAAAUCCUACAGCUUAACUGUAGAACUGCCUUUGAGACUUGUAUUCUUGAGUUCGGGAGAGAGAGACGGAAUUCCAGGUGUAGUGGUGAAAUACGUAGAUAUCUGGAAGAACACCAGUUGCGAAGGCGGUCUCUUGGUCCGACACUGACGCUGAGGCGCGAAAGCGUGGGGAGCAAACA
rnacentral:rRNA from 1 species